AGUGGAGAUGAAACAGCUGUUUGUCAGCUUGUGCAGAUGGAGAGAUGGUCAAGGUAUUGCCAACCGCCUGUCCAAAAGGCUUGCCACGGUCGUUAGUAGCACACAAAAAAUGUGAAGGACUACAACCUGAGGAGACAAGGUUUGUCCUCACAGCUCCCACAGGCCCUGGUGUAUGAGGAUGCAGUGCAGGUGGACAGCACUGUUUGGUCCUGGAGAGCAGGAGGAGCAGAGGAUGAUGAGGAGUUUCACCUCAAACAAAGGCCCUUUGUGCUCCAUCCCCUCGGGCGUGGGAAGAGAAGCGGUACAAUGAGGAUGAUGUCUUCACUGCCAAGAAGUUCUACUCAGUUCUACGCAGAAACUGAUUGUGGAGGCCAGAGCAAGAUCGAUUUUGUCUUGGGGCAAGAGCUGUCCUUGCUGGAAAUCUUGAUGAGCUCCAGCAGGCAGAAGGACAAUGUGAAUCUUUCAGAGGGGCUUUUAUUGAGGACAGUGGCAAAAACUUUGAAGUGGAGGACAUCGAGGAAGUGGAUGAGGAUGAUGACUAUUAUGAUGAUGAUGGCGAUGACAGUGACAGUAAUAUUGAUUGAGGAAUAGAUUGAGGCUGAGGGUUGCGGUGUCCAUUAUGUUUUAAUUUAUGUCAUUGUAUUCGGCAAGUAGCCUAGUGGCUAAAGCAAUGGACUAGUAACCGAAAGGUUGCAAGAUUGCAUUCCCGAGCUGACAAGGUAAAAAUCUGUCGUUCUGCCCCGAACAAGGCAGUUAACCCACUGUUCCUAGGCCGUCAUUGAAAAUAAGAAUUAGUUCUUAACGGACUUGCCUAGUUAAGUAAAAUAAAUUCCUGCCCUUUGUUUACA